UUGAAGAACUGGUUCCUAUACAAUCACCAAAGUUAAGCUAUGUCAAGCCUGAUCAGUACCUAGAUGAGCAACCACUUGGGAAUACUAGGUGCUGUAAG